rnacentral:tRNA from 1 species
GGCCUCGGAGCUCAGCUGGUAGAAUGUAGGCGACGUUCAUGCGUGGGUUCGAAUCCCACCGAGGCUA